CCAGGCAGGCUUUAAUUUCACAGAGAUCUGCCUGCCUCUGCUUCCCGAGUGUUGGGAUCCGUAGGACACCAUGUCUGGCACUGAUCAGUUUUUUGAGGCUUAUUUGGAGUGGAGAUGAAUUCUGGAUCAUCCAAAUGAACUAAGAAGCCCUCCUGGACUGUUUUCUCCUGAACUGGCUCCCUCCCUCAUGGUGAUGACUGAAGCCAAGGACUUGCACAAAUGAGCUCCUCCCCCAUUUUUUUAGCGCCAACAGUGCUGCCUCAGACUCCCAUGUGCUGGAAUUCAGACACUUGGCUCACCGUCCAACACUCUGAAGCAGUGACUCUCCACAGAACAUCUAAGCAACCGAGGGGCCUCCCAACGCAUCCACUGUGAGUGUGUUCAUCUCCCGGGGCCAUUCCUUAUGCUUCAGCUGUUCUAUUAAUAUCAUAAGUAAAGAUGGAGCUAU